UAGGGAAUAUUGCGCAAUGGACGAAAGUCUGACGCAGCGACGCCGCGUGAGGGAUGAAGGUUCUCGGAUCGUAAACCUCUGUCAGAAGGAAAGAAAGCGCGUGGCUCCAAUCAACCAUGCGUUGACGGUACCUUCAAAGGAAGCGCCGGCUAACUCCGUGCCAGCAGCCGCGGUAAUACGGAGGGCGCAAGCGUUAAUCGGAAUUACUGGGCGUAAAGCGCGCGUAGGCUGUUGUGUAAGUCAGAGGUGAAAGCCCACGGCUUAACCGUGGAACUGCCUUUGAUACUGCGCGACUUGAAUCCGGGAGAGGGCGGCGGAAUUCCAGGUGUAGGAGUGAAAUCCGUAGAUAUCUGGAGGAACACCAGUGGCGAAGGCGGCCGCCUGGACCGGAAUUGACGCUGAGGCGCGAAAGCGUGGGGAGCAAACAGG
rnacentral:rRNA from 1 species